GACGAACGCUGGCGGCGCGCCUAAUACAUGCAAGUCGAGCGAGAAGACGUAGCAAUACGUUUGUAAAGCGGCGAACGGGUGAGGAAUACAUGGGUAACCUACCCUCGAGUGGGGAAUAACUAGCCGAAAGGUUAGCUAAUACCGCGUACGCUCCUUGGACUUCGGUUCAGGGAGGAAAGCGAUACCGUGGGUAUCGCGCUCUUGGAUGGGCUCAUGUCCUAUCAGCUUGUUGGGAGGUAACGGCUCACCAAGGCUUCGACGGGUAGCUGGUCUGAGAGGACGAUCAGCCACACUGGCACUGCGACACGGGCCAGACUCCUACGGGAGGCAGCAGUAAGGAAUAUUGCGCAAUGGGCGAAAGCCUGACGCAGCGACGCCGCGUGGGGGAUGAAGGUCUUCGGAUUGUAAACCCCUUUCGGGAGGGAAGAUGGAACGAGCAAUCGUUCGGACGGUACCUCCAGAAGCAGCCACGGCUAACUUCGUGCCAGCAGCCGCCGUAAC
rnacentral:rRNA from 1 species